CAGUCGCCGCGGUAAUACGUAGGUGGCAAGCGUUGUCCGGAAUUAUUGGGCGUAAAGGGCUCGCAGGCGGUUUCUUAGGUCUGAUGUGAAAGCCCCCGGCUCAACCGGGGAGGGUCAUUGGAAACUGGGAAACUUGAGUGCAGAAGAGGAGAGUGGAAUUCCACGUGUAGCGGUGAAAUGCGUAGAGAUGUGGAGGAACACCAGUGGCGAAGGCGACUCUCUGGUCUGUAACUGACGCUGAGGAGCGAAAGCGUGGGGAGCGAACAGGAUUAGAUACCCGGGUAGUCCCUGUCUCUUAUAC
rnacentral:rRNA from 1 species